GAGAGGGGGGCACGGGGGUUACCGGGGGGAACGGAGACAGGCGUCGUGAUGAGAAUGCUGAGGGCACGUGGGGUAAUGGGGGCGUAACGGGGGUGACCGAGACGGGAGGAGUACCGGGGAUAGCGGGGGGGAACGGGAAAUGACGGGGAACGGGCGGUACCGGGGCACGGGGAUAACGGGGCAGGGGGCAGUGGGGAGUGGGAAUGGAGAUGUGGCGGGGCAGGAGGGUGUUAGGAACACGGACGGGGUUAACGGGAACGGGGCGUACCGGGGAUAGGGAAUGGAGGUGUGAUGGGGCAGGAGGGUAUCGGGGACACGGGGAUAACGGGGAUAACGGGAACGGGGGGUACCGGGGAUAGGGAAUGGAGGUGUGAUGGGGCAGGAAGGUAUCGGGGACACGGGGAUAACGGGGUUAACGGGAACGUGGGGUACCGGGGAUAGGGAAUGGAGGUGUGAUGGGGCAGGAAGGUAUCGGGGACACGGGGAUAACGGGGAUAACGGGAACGGGGGGUACCGGGGAUAGGGAAUGGAGGUGUGAUGGGGCAGGAAGGUAUCGGGGACACGGGGAUAACGGGAGCUGCGGGGCAGCUGCGCUGGGGGAACGGGGGCACAGCACGGGCCUGAGCUCAGCCCUGGGUCUGGCCCCGGUGCCGGUGCCGGUGCUGAGCCGGCCCCGGG